CAGAUUUUGUAGACUUUGUUGAGCACACACAAAUGCCAGCCUAUAGUAGGUUAUUGGCUUUGUAAUAGCUAAAUGUUGCACAAGACAGGUGUGCAUUUAAGUGUUGAGGGCAGAGCAGUCAAACUGUCAGCCUCUGAAGGCUGAUGGAGAGAACUGAUCCAGCACUGAGUCCUUGCUCUUCCUCUUCUUCUGUUCAUGGCGUGGCAGAUUCCAAGGGAGAGUAUCGCCUGGAGGACACGGUGACAAACUUCCAGACCUCUCACUGCGACAGGACCUUUCACUACG